UACGUAGGGUGCAAGCGUUGUCCGGAAUUAUUGGGCGUAAAGAGCUCGUAGGCGGUCUGUCGCGUCGUCUGUGAAAACUCGGGGCUCAACUCCGAGCUUGCAGUCGAUACGGGCAGGCUAGAGUUCGGCAGGGGAGACUGGAAUUCCUGGUGUAGCGGUGAAAUGCGCAGAUAUCAGGAGGAACACCGGUGGCGAAGGCGGGUCUCUGGGACGAUACUGACGCUGAGGAGCGAAAGCGUGGGGAGCGAACAGG
rnacentral:rRNA from 1 species